UACGUAGGGGGGCAAGCGUUGUCCGGAUUCAUUGGGCGUAAAGAGCGUGUAGGCGGCCAGGUAGGUCGGUUGUGAAAAACUGGAGGCUCAACCUUCAGAGGUCGACCGAAACCAUCUGGCUAGAGUCCGGGAGAGGAGAGUGGAAUUCCUGGUGUAGCGGUGAAAUGCGCAGAUAUCAGGAAGAACACCCGUGGCGAAAGCGGCUCUCUGGAACGGUACUGACGCUGAGACGCGAAAGCGUGGGGAGCGAACAGG
rnacentral:rRNA from 1 species